rfam:Papio anubis isolate 1X1155 chromosome 9, whole genome shotgun sequence.
CAAUUGUGGUGGUUCUGAAACAUGUCCACAAAUUGUUUACCACUUCUCUGUUCAAGAGGUGGAUUGCAUGCUUGAUCAAAGAGGACGACCUUCCCUGAUAGAAGAGGUCCUUUCUUUGGUCAAGGGUGUAUGAGUAGCUGCACUCCCCUGCUAGAAUCUCCAGACAAGCUCUCGAGAAGCAAAGCCUUCUAGUGACUCAAUUCUGAUGAAUCAAGUGGAAGUGACAGUCAUG